CAAAAGCUGAAAUAACAUAGCAGCUUUAUCCGGUAACGGGUAAUGAAAAAUCGGGUGAAUUCAAGGAAGCCGCAGCACUUAAUGGUGGCGGUAAUCUUGAGCCAAGUCUGGCGAAAGGCAGUGGUUUUCACAGGUAGCCAGAAAGGUGCAGAGACUAGAGAUGAGGAGCCUAUCCAAUAAAUCUCAUAGCGCCCGACAUCCCAAAAUAGGGAUGAUGAAAUAGUCCACCCCUUACGGAAACGUUCGG
rnacentral:ncRNA from 1 species